rnacentral:rRNA from 1 species
AAAGGGCGCGUAGGCGGAUAAACAAGUCAAGCGUGAAAGACCUGGGCUUAACCUGGGAAGUGCGUUUGAAACUGUUUGUCUUGAGUAAGGGAGAGGAAAGCGGAAUUUCCAGUGUAGAAGUGAAAUUCGUAGAUAUUGGAAGGAACAUCAGAGGCGAAGGCGGCUUUCUGGCCCUUAACUGACGCUGAGGCGCGAAAGCGUGGGGAGCGAACAGGAUUAGAUACCCCUGU